GCGCGUGCGCGCGUGCGCAGGCGCAAUCCGUUUGCGCCCCGAGCCGCGCACUCACGGUAACGCAUUCUCUGUUCACAGUCUUCUCCCAGUUUGGCCUUCAGUAUUCGGUCCGAGUCUUCCCAAAUGCAGCAGUGGCCGGUCCUGGGUUCUAUGCCAUCAUCAAAGUUUAUUCAGCAAGGGAUGCCCACAGAGCCCAAAAGGCAUGAGACCAGAAGCAGCUUUUUCAGACAUCUCCAGUGAAGAUACAUCAGAAAUACAUCUACACGUGGAACUGCUCCUAUAGAACACCCACUGAACGCUGGCAGAAGACCUCAGACCUCCCAAAAGG